CAAAGCGUUCGACCCAAACGAUCAUCAGCUGGCAGCCGGAACCAAGAACCGGAGAACCCAACUUUAUGUCUACAACUGGACAGGUCUGGACAGACAGGUAAGAGACAGACAGACAGACAGACAGACAGACAGGUAAGAGACAGACAGACAGGUAAGAGACAGACAGACAGACAGACAGGUAAGAGACAGACAGACAGACAGGUAAGAGACAGACAGACAGACAGACAGACAGGUAAGAGACAGACAGACAGACAGACAGACAGACAGGUAAGAGACAGACAGACAGACAGGUAAGAGACAGACAGACAGACAGA